UACGGGGGGGGCAAGCGUUAUUCAAUUUAACUGGGCGUAAAGCGUCUGCAGGCGGCACGUUUCGUUAUUUGUUAAAACUUAAAGCUUAACUUUAAGACGCAAAUAAAACAAACGUUGCUAGAGUUAUAGAGGAGAGAGUAGAAUUUCUGAAAUAGGGAUAAAAUCCAUUGACAUCAGAAGGAAUUCCAAUGGCGAAGGCAACUCUCUGGUUAUAACUGACGCUCAGAGACGAAGGCGUGGGGAGCAAAUGGG
rnacentral:rRNA from 1 species